UGAAACCGUGUACGUACAAGCAGUGGGAGCACCCUUUGGGUGUGACUGCGUACCUUUUGUAUAAUGGGUCAGCGACUUAUAUUCUGUAGCAAGGUUAACCGAAUAGGGGAGCCGGAGGGAAACCGAGUCUUAACCGGGCGUUAAGUUGCAGGGUAUAGACCCGAAACCCGGUGAUCUAGCCAUGGGCAGGUUGAAGGUUGGGUAACACUAACUGGAGGACCGAACCGACUAAUGUUGAAAAAUUAGCGGAUGACCUGUGGCUGGGGGUGAAAGGCCAAUCAAACCGGGAGAUAGCUGGUUCUCCCCGAAAGCUAUUUAGGUAGCGCCUCGUGAAUUCAUCUCCGGGGGUAGAGCACUGUUUCGGCUAGGGGGCCAUCCCGGCUUACCAACCCGAUGCAAACUGCGAAUACCGGAGAAUGUUAUCACGGGAGACACACGGCGGGUGCUAACGUCCGUCGUGAAGAGGGAAACAACCCAGACCGCCAGCUAAGGUCCCAAAGUCAUGGUUAAGUGGGAAACGAUGUGGGAAGGCCCAGACAGCCAGGAUGUUGGCUUAGAAGCAGCCAUCAUUUAAAGAAAGCGUAAUAGCUCACUGGUCGAGUCGGCCUGCGCGGAAGAUGUAACGGGGCUAAACCAUGCACCGAAGCUGCGGCAGCGACACUGUGUGUUGUUGGGUAGGGGAGCGUUCUGUAAGCCUGUGAAGGUGUGUCGUGAGGCAUGCUGGAGGUAUCAGAAGUGCGAAUGCUGACAUAAGUAACGAUAAAGCGGGUGAAAAGCCCGCUCGCCGGAAGACCAAGGGUUCCUGUCCAACGUUAAUCGGGGCAGGGUGAGUCGACCCCUAAGGCGAGGCCGAAAGGCGUAGUCGAUGGGAAACGGGUUAAUAUUCCCGUACUUGGUGUUACUGCGAAGGGGGGACGGAGAAGGCUAUGUUGGCCGGG
rnacentral:rRNA from 1 species